GGGUAAGUCUUUCACGACCAGCUCCUACAGAAUCCCCCAGGUUGGGAACAAAGCAAGGGUAUGCGGUUGAGCGGUGCGAUGGAAGUAGCUUACCCUUU
rnacentral:SRP_RNA from 1 species